AACGUAGGAGGAAAGCGUUAUCCGGAGUUACUGGGCGUAAAGAGCGUGUAGGCGGCAGUGUAAGUGGCUUGUGAAAGCGCCCGGCUAAACUGGGCGAGGACAGGUCAGACUGCACCGGUAGAGGACGAUAGAGGGGUGCGGAAUUCCGGGUGUAGCGGUGAAAUGUGUAGAGAACCGGAGGAACACCAGUGGUGCAGACGGAUCCCUGGGUCGUACCUGACGCUGAGACGCGAAAGCGUGGGGAGCCAACGGG
rnacentral:rRNA from 1 species